UUUCCGUAGGUGAACCUGCGGAAGGAUCAUUAAAGAACGCCCCGUUUUUUGAAAUGGGUAAUUCUAAACCGUGUAUACAUAUCUUUGUUGCUUUGGCAGGCCGCCCCUCAGGGCGUCGGCUCCGGCUGACUGCGCCUGCCAGAGGACCCAAACUCUUUUGUUUAGUGAUGUCUGAGUACUAUAUAAUAGUUAAAACUUUCAACAACGGAUCUCUUGGUUCUG
rnacentral:misc_RNA from 1 species